CACAGUGCCAUGGCUAGCAUUGCUAGGCCUCUGUCCUGAUUGACAGGUUGGCGUGCAGCCACGCCCCUAAAACAUCCCGUAAUGUAUCAUUCAUUUUUAAAUAAA